rnacentral:rRNA from 1 species
GAUGAACGCUGGCGGCGUGCCUAAUACAUGCAAGUCGAGCGAACGGACGAGAAGCUUGCUUCUCUGAUGUUAGCGGCGGACGGGUGAGUAGCACGUGGAUAACCUACCUAUAAGACUGGGAUAACUUCGGGAAACCGUAGCUAAUACCGGAUAAUAUUUUGAACCGCAUGGUUCAAAAGUGAAAGACGGUCUUGCUGUCACUUAUAGAUGGAUCCGCGCUGCAUUAGCUAGUUGGUAAGGUAACGGCUUACCAAGGCAACGAUGCAUAGCCGACCUGAGAGGGUGAUCGGCCACCCUGGAACUGAGACACGGUCCAGACUCCUACGGGAGGCAGCAGUAGGGAAUCUUCCGCAAUGGGCGAAAGCCUGACGGAGCAACGCCGCGUGAGUGAUGAAGGUCUUCGGAUCGUAAAACUCUGUUAUUAGGGAAGAACAUAUGUGUAAGUAACUGUGCACAUCUUGACGGUACCUAAUCAGAAAGCCACGGCUAACUACGUG